rnacentral:rRNA from 1 species
GAUGAACGCUGGCGGCGUGCCUAAUACAUGCAAGUUGAGCGAACAGAUGAGGAGCUUGCUCCUCUGACGUUAGCGGCGGACGGGUGAGUAACACGUGGAUAACCUACCUAUAAGACUGGGAUAACUUCGGGAAACCGGAGCUAAUACCGGAUAAUAUAUUGAACCGCAUGGUUCAAUAGUGAAAGACGGUUUUGCUGUCACUUAUAGAUGGAUCCGCGCCGCAUUAGCUAGUUGUUAAGGUAACGGCUUACCAAGGCAACGAUGCGUAGCCGACCUGAGAGGGGGAUCGGCCACACUGGAGCUGAGACACGGACCAGACUCCUACGGCAGGCAGCAGUAGGGAAUCGGCCGCAAUGGGCGAAAGCCUGACGGAGCAACGCCGCGUGAGUGAUGAAGGUCUCCGGAUCGUAAAACUCUGUUAUUAGGGAAGAACAAAUGUGUAAGUAACUAUGCACGUCUUGACGGUACCUGAACAGAAAGCCACGGCUAACUACGUG